GCCCGUUUGGUGUAAUGGUAACAUUCCCCUCUAUUAUUAGUGUAUUGUUACGGAGAUCCAGGUUCGAAUCCUGGGGCGGGCA